GGGAAUGAUGCUCAGUGGUAGAGCACUUGCUUAGCAUGUGCAAGGUCCUGGGUUCCACCCCCAGUAUUAUUA
rnacentral:tRNA from 1 species